UGGUGGUCAUGGCGAGGAGCCUGAACCCGAUCCCAUUCCGAACUCGGCCGUUAAACUCCUCCGCGCCAAUGGUACUUUGUCUUAAGACACGGGAGAGUAGGUCGCUGCCA
rnacentral:rRNA from 1 species